rnacentral:rRNA from 1 species
CCUACGGGCGGCAGCAGUGGGGAAUAUUGCACAAUGGGGGAAACUCUGAUGCAGCGACGCCGCGUGAGUGAAGAAGUAAUUCGUUUUGUAAAGCUCUAUCAGUAGGGAAGAAAAUGACGGUACCUGAGUAAGAAGCCCCGGCUAACUACGGGCCAGCAGCCGCGGUAUUACGGAGGGGGCAAGCGUUAUCCGGAUUUAGUGGGUGUAAAGGGAGCGUAGACGGCCGUGCAAGUCUGGAGUGAAAGGGGGGGGCUCAACCCCCGGACUGCACUGGAAACUGUACGGCUGGAGUGCAGGAGAGGGUAGUGGAAUGCCGGGUGUAGCGGUGAAAUGCGUAGAUAUAAGGAGGAACACCAGUGGCGAAGGCGGCUUACUGGACUGUAACUGACGUUGAGGCUCGAAAGCGUGGGGAGCAAACAGGAUUAGAUACCCCUGUAGUC